rnacentral:rRNA from 1 species
GACGAACGCUGACGGCGUGCUUAACACAUGCAAGUCGAGCGAUGAAGCUCCUUCGGGAGUGGAUUAGCGGCGGACGGGUGAGUAACACGUGGGCAACCUGCCUUAUAGAGAGGAAUAGCCAUCCGAAAGGAUGAUUAAUACCUCAUAAUAUUGUAGUUUCGCAUGAAGCAACAAUCAAAGGAGCAAUCCACUAUAGAUGGGCCCGCGGCGCAUUAGCUAGUUGGUGAGGUAACGGCUCACCAAGGCGACGAUGCGUAGCCGACCUGAGAGGGUGAUCGGCCACAUUGGGACUGAGACACGGCCCAGACUCCUACGGGAGGCAGCAGUGGGGAAUAUUGCACAAUGGGGGAAACCCUGAUGCAGCAACGCCGCGUGAGUGAUGACGGCCUUCGGGUUGUAAAGCUCUGUCUUCAGGGACGAUAAUGACGGUACCUGAGGAGGAAGCCACGGCUAACUACGUGCCAGCCGCCGCAGUAA